UUGCUCAAAAAGUUUUCUCUUCAAAAGCUAAAUAAUAAGGAUCGCCUUGAUAAAUGGUUUGAAAACGGUUUCGUUUUAAACUUCCCAUCUACCCUGAUCUGGAAACUUUUUUUAGUGGCAGGGCUCUACAGCGGUGAUAAUUUUAGCCACUAACACCAUCGUUUUCACGAAUAUGGCACCCACUUCAGAAUCGUUCUCGGUUCUUCAGAAAGAUUCAUAUAUUAUGGUGCUCAAUCACCUUCUUCAAAAAGGAAAAGCAGCCUCCGACUGAUCUGUCAACAAACAACGCAGCGUGAACUUUUUCGUGACGACCAUGACGGAUUGGUCGUUUCCCAAUGGGCAGAUGUGGCCACAUUUGCAGCAUGAGGGCUAUACCGCGCUGCGCUACCUAUUCCUCGGCUCCAGUGAUCGGGAACGCAGUAAGAAUCUCCACCACGUUCAGGAAAAGCACAGCAAGCUUCGGCAGCAUAAUUUUUGACCCGCAUUGGUAUCCUGCACGGGAAGUUGCGAUUGGCUAGUUUGAGGAACCACAACCGCAUCUCACGGAUCAAAACCUCAGUAGGCAAUUUAGCAGGCAAACCUGGUGGAGCUGCUUUACUCGUUUGGUUACCUGUGGAACAAUCUGUAUCACGGAAACUUAUUUUCGCUAAACUCGUCCAAAACAUCAGUCAGAAAAAUACUACCGAUCUCCAACCUUCCGUUCUUUAGCGAUAUGUUCUCCACUGCAGAAGAAAAUUUGCGCAAACAAUUCCACCAUCAUUCCGUUUCCUCCUGACUUUAUCAAUUCUAAAGUGGGGAACGGACGCUGAUAUCCUUUGAAAAAAGGGGUAGAAAUUUAGAAUCCGGCGGUGGCGGCGUUUUCCCCCGAGCGAGUGAUGGAUUUUGACCGGUUGGAGUGCAAUUCGCCGGCGCCGCUAAUGCCGCAACCCCAUCGCUUCUACUGGGAUACCCAGGGGAAAAGGACCGGGGAGACGGCGUUCGGCGGAUGACGGUCCGUCGCCGGUAUACGAAAGGUGGGUAUGAACGCUCGUGUGUUCAGUUUGUGUGUUAUAUUAUUAAUAAAUUACGCAGUCCCAUACGAUGCCAUGCCUACAGAUAUCAGACAUUUUAUGAAUAAUUCUGGGGUGAAAUUGUUUGGCAGAUUUUUGUGCCUAAUUAGCAAUUAAUCUGGUUUGUGGUUGAAAUGACUUUUAAAUGAAUGUUGUGCAAUCAUUCCGUACUUUUCUGCUGUAAAGGAUUUCAAUUCUAAAUGUUGCAUUUUCGCAAAACGUAUUAAUAUCGGAAUGGUGCGGCGUUUUCGCACACGGAUAAUUAGAGAUCGUCAAGGUCAUGCU